rnacentral:rRNA from 1 species
CCAUGCAUGUCUAAGUAUAAAUUCUUGUACGAUGAAACUGCAGACGGCUCAUUACAACAGUGAUAAACUAAUAGACUUUCGGGUUUUACCUUUUGGAUAACCGCAGUAAAUCGGGGCUAAUACAUAGAAGCGAGGGGUGACUGAUUUAUCGGAAGCUCCGCGAUUAUUAGCAUUCAACCAAUACCCGCAAGGGUUCUGUUGGUGAAACCGAAUAAUAUUGCAGAUCGAAGAUUUAUCUUCGACAAGUCUACUGUGUCACUGCCCUAUCAACUUUCGAUGGUACGGUAUUGGCCUACCAUGGUUGUAACGGGUAACGGGGAAUUAGGGUUCGAUUCCGGAGAGGGAGCCUGAGAAAUGGCUACCACUUCUACGGAAGGCAGCAGGCGCGCAAAUUACUCAAUCCCAAUACGGGGAAGUAGUGACAAUAAAUAUCGAUGCCUAUCCAUUUAUGGAAGGGUAAUUGAAAUGAACACAAAUUAAAACUCUUAAUUAAUACAAUUGGAGGGCAAGUCUGGUGCCAGCAGCCGCGGUAAUUCCAGCUCCAAUAGCAUAUACUAAAGUUGUUGCAGUUAAAAAGCUCGUAGUUGAAGUUAAAGCUUUAUUUGGGUUAAAAAUCCAUUUGCCUUUUAACGGUUAAAUAGGAUUCCAGUAUUGCUUUUUUAAAGUUCAGUUUGUAUUGCCUUUGGUAGUAUUUAUUUGGACAUUUCACUGUGAGAAAAUUGUGGUGUUUAAAGCAGGCGUCUCUGUCUGAUCUUUUGCAGCAUGGUAUGAUGGAACAUGACAUUUUGCG